CCCACCCAAGAAUAUAUAUGGUAUAGGGGUGGGGAUCUGGACUGUUAACAUGUUAAUUGCACAUUCUUAAAUUGAACGGGGUGGGAUGACCCCCAGGGGCUUCCCUUUAAUUUUAAUUGAUUUGUUUUAUCGUCCCAUUUCAGAAUAUAUAUGGUUUAGGGGUGUGGAUCUGGACUGUAUACAAAAUAAUAGCAUAUUCUCAAAUUAAAGGGGGUGGGGAUUACCCCCAUGGACUCACCCUAUAUUUCAUGUGAUUUGUUUUAUUGUCCUAUCAUAAUUUCUGAAGACUGCGUGUGUCUAGUUUACAAGUUAUAUAUUCAUUUGAAAAUUUUUGAAAAUAAAAUCCCAUACAGCUGCCCAUAGG
rnacentral:lncRNA from 1 species